UCUCCCAUAUGGUCGACCUGCAGGCGGCCGCGAAUUCACUAGUGAUUAGAGUUUGAUCCUGGCUCAGAUUGAACGCUGGCGGCAGGCUUAACACAUGCAAGUCGAGCGGAGAUGAGGUGCUUGCACCUUAUCUUAGCGGCGGACGGGUGAGUAAUGCUUAGGAAUCUGCCUAUUAGUGGGGGACAACAUUCCGAAAGGAAUGCUAAUACCGCAUACGUCCUACGGGAGAAAGCAGGGGAUCUUCGGACCUUGCGCUAAUAGAUGAGCCUAAGUCGGAUUAGCUAGUUGGUGGGGUAAAGGCCUACCAAGGCGACGAUCUGUAGCGGGUCUGAGAGGAUGAUCCGCCACACUGGGACUGAGACACGGCCCAGACUCCUACGGGAGGCAGCAGUGGGGAAUAUUGGACAAUGGGGGGAACCCUGAUCCAGCCAUGCCGCGUGUGUGAAGAAGGCCUUAUGGUUGUAAAGCACUUUAAGCGAGGAGGAGGCUACUGAGACUAAUACUCUUGGAUAGUGGACGUUACUCGCAGAAUAAGCACCGGCUAACUCUGUGCCAGCAGCCGCGGUAAUACAGAGGGUGCGAGCGUUAAUCGGAUUUACUGGGCGUAAAGCGUGCGUAGGCGGCUUUUUAAGUCGGAUGUGAAAUCCCCGAGCUUAACUUGGGAAUUGCAUUCGAUACUGGGAAGCUAGAGUAUGGGAGAGGAUGGUAGAAUUCCAGGUGUAGCGGUGAAAUGCGUAGAGAUCUGGAGGAAUACCGGUGGCGAAGGCGGCCCCCUGGACGAAGACUGACGCUCAGGUGCGAAAGCGUGGGGAGCAAACAGGAUUAGAUACCCUGGUAGUCCACGCUGUAAACGAUGUCGAUUUGGAGGUUGUGCCCUUGAGGCGUGGCUUCCGGAGCUAACGCGUUAAAUCGACCGCCUGGGGAGUACGGCCGCAAGGUUAAAACUCAAAUGAAUUGACGGGGGCCCGCACAAGCGGUGGAGCAUGUGGUUUAAUUCGAUGCAACGCGAAGAACCUUACCUACUCUUGACAUCCAGAGAACUUUCCAGAGAUGGAUUGGUGCCUUCGGGAACUCUGAGACAGGUGCUGCAUGGCUGUCGUCAGCUCGUGUUGUGAAAUGUUGGGUUAAGUCCCGCAACGAGCGCAACCCUUAUCCUUUGUUGCCAGCGGUUCGGCCGGGAACUCAAAGGAGACUGCCAGUGAUAAACUGGAGGAAGGUGGGGAUGACGUCAAGUCAUCAUGGCCCUUACGAGUAGGGCUACACACGUGCUACAAUGGCAUAUACAAAGAGAAGCGACCUCGCGAGAGCAAGCGGACCUCAUAAAGUAUGUCGUAGUCCGGAUUGGAGUCUGCAACUCGACUCCAUGAAGUCGGAAUCGCUAGUAAUCGUAGAUCAGAAUGCUACGGUGAAUACGUUCCCGGGCCUUGUACACACCGCCCGUCACACCAUGGGAGUGGGUUGCAAAAGAAGUAGGUAGCUUAACCUUCGGGAGGGCGCUUACCACUUUGUGAUUCAUGACUGGGGUGAAGUCGUAACAAGGUAACCGUAGGGGAACCUGCGGCUGGAUCACCUCCUUAAUCGAAUUCCCGCGGCC
rnacentral:rRNA from 1 species